UCCGUCUUGACGACGGCAGUCUCGCUAGAGUACUGGCUUUCGCCGAGCAACUAACGACAGGGGUUGCGCUCGUUAAGGGACUUAACCCGACACUUCACAGCACGAGCUGACGACAGCCAUGCAGCACCUGUGCAUGUUCCGGUCUUGCGACUGUGGCUCUACUUUCAUAGAGUUGAUCCAUGCAUGUCAAAUCCAGGUAAGGUUCUUCGCGUUGCCUCGAAUUAAGCAACAUGCUCCACCGCUUGUGUGAGCCCCCGUCAAUUCCUUUGAGUUUCGGUCUUGCGACCGUACUCCCCAGGCGGAGUGUUUCACGCGUUAGCUGGGCCCCUGAUCCACGUAGACCAAGGGCGAACACUCAUCGUUUACGGCAUGGACUAC
rnacentral:misc_RNA from 1 species